rnacentral:lncRNA from 1 species
UAACACCCAAACCCCUUAACGCGAAUUUAUUAAAUAUAAAUAAAUAAAACACUUAAGAAAAUCUAGGCGUCACAUGUUAAUAAAACAAAACCACGGCAUAAUUAAAUCAUGCUAGUACAGCGGAAUUAAAAGCGAGUAAUUAUCAUAAUGUAUAUCAUACAAUGAUCAUAAUUGUUCACACAAUAUCCCUAGGCUCUAGGCCAUAUCAACAAAGGAUAUCAUGUUUACAACAAAAGAUAGGAUUAGCAAAGUUAAAUAUGCCAUCACGGCUUAAUACAAUCCAAACGCAUAACCCGGCCCGGUAAAACCUAAUCAGAGCAAUACUAUACAACCCAUCAAAAAGAUAUAUAACAUAUAUCUAAGGAGUAGUCUACGCUAACUCCUCACCAAAAAGCGCACUACCACGAGCACGAGCAAGCCCUCUAACUCUGAUCGGGAUCCUCAACCUGAGAAUCUGAACCCCCAACGGUCCAGCACAUAACACAAAGCAUGAGAGUUGGAUCACAUAAUCAAAAUAUAAGUGCAAGUAAAAGGUACAUAAACACUCCUUCAACAACAACAAGCAUAUUCAUAAUUUAUAAACAUGCAUCACCAUUAACUACUCAAUUACAAGCUCUAAACAUGUAUAAUCAAGUACCAAAUAAUCAAUCUACAAUUCAUAACACUUAACCAAAUUAUAUGUCACAUAUCACUUAUCAAGU